GUUUAGUGGGUUUUGGGGUAAGAAGGAGUCUUAAGAAAAAAGGUGAAGAAUCAUUGAUUCCUGAAACUAUUGAUGAUCUUAUAACCCCUGAGGAGAAGGACAAACUAUUCACUGCUAUUGGUUACAGCGGGAGCAUGCAUAACUUGACUUUGCCCAAGAAGUAUGUUGCCUAUAUAAUGACCUUGAAGUUGGUAAGCACUUCUAUUGUAAUCAGAGAAAACAAAAAUAUUCCUGAAAUCCUAAAAAUCCAGAUCAUUGGCCUGGGCACCCAAGUAUGCCAGCGACCGGGAGCACAAGCCCUUAAGUAAGUUUUUAAAAACUUAU
rnacentral:lncRNA from 1 species